rnacentral:rRNA from 1 species
UGGGUAACCUGCCCAAGAGAUCGGGAUAACACCUGGAAACAGAUGCUAAUACCGGAUAACAACAGAUGAUGCCUAUCAACUGUUUAAAAGAUGGUUCUGCUAUCACUCUUGUAUGGACCUGCGGUGCAUUAGCUAGUUGGUAGGGUAACGGCCUACCAAGGCGAUGAUGCAUAGCCGAGUUGAGAGACUGAUCGGCCACAUUGGGACUGAGACACGGCCCAAACUCCUACGGGAGGCAGCAGUC